GUUUGGAUAGCUCAGUUGGCUAGAGCGCGGCGCUGAUAACACCAAGGCUGCAGGUUCGAUCCCCGUAUGAGGACA